rnacentral:lncRNA from 1 species
UUUUCUUCCAGAUUUAAUACUACUCUAGUGUUCUCUGUUUUCUCCUCCAGAUCCAUUAUUUAUUCUUCUCCAUCUUGUUCUGUGUUCCUGGAAGCCAACCUUUAUAAGCUGCAGGAAAUGGAUUUCCUACUCUCCACCUUCUGAUUGGGCUUGACCAACGGGGAGCACUGGCAGAAGACAAGCAUGGGAGGAAAAAGAGAUCAGGGCUGGAGUGCA